GGGGAAUAUUGCGCAAUGGGGGAAACCCUGACGCAGCAAUACCGCGUGAGUGAAGAAGGUUUUGGAACCGAAAGCCCAGGUAAUUGGGAAGGAAAAAAGGAGGUUCCCAAAGAGGAAAGUCCGGCUUAACUCGUUGCCAGCAGCCGCGGUAAUACGUAGGGGACAAGCGUUGUCCGGAUUUACUGGGCGUAAAGGGCACGCAGGCGGUUUUUUAAGUCAGAUGUGAAAGGUACCGGCUCAACCGGUAACAUGCAUUUGAAACUGAAAGACUUGAGUAUUGGAGAGGCAAGUGGAAUUCCUAGUGUAGCGGUGAAAUGCGUAGAUAUUAGGAGGAACACCGGUGGCGAAGGCGGCUUGCUGGACAAAUACUGACGCUGAGGUGCGAAAGCGUGGGGAGCAAACA
rnacentral:rRNA from 1 species